GACGAACGCUGGCGGCGUGCUUAACACAUGCAAGUCGAACGGAAAGGCCCUGCUUUUGCUGGUUGCUCGAGUGGCGAACGGGUGAGUAACACGUGAGUAACCUGCCCUUGACUUUCGGAUAACUUCAGGAAACUGGGGCUAAUAUCGGAUAGGAUCUCUUGCUGCAUGGUGGUGGUUGGUAAGUUUCGGCGGUUGGGGAUGGUCUCGCGGCUUAUCAGCUUGUUGGUGGGGUAGUGGCUUACCAAGGCUUUGACGGGUAGCCGGCCUGAGAGGGUGACCGGCCACAUUGGGACUGAGAGACGGCCCAGAAUCCUACGGGAGGCAGCAGUGGGGAAUAUUGCGCAAUGGGCGGAAGCCUGAUGCAGCAACGCCGCGUGCGGGAUGACGGCCUUCGGGGUGUAAACAGCUUUCGCCUGAGACGAAGAGUGAGUGACGGUAAUGGGUAAAGAAGCACCGGCUAACUACGUG
rnacentral:rRNA from 1 species